rnacentral:tRNA from 1 species
GGGAUUUCGGCAGAUUGGCCCACUACCGUCAGGCCUCCCGAAACCCCCUGUUCUUCCCUGACACGGAAGAGGUCGCUGGUUCAAAUCCAGCACGGCCCA